rnacentral:rRNA from 1 species
UAGGGAAUCUUCCACAAUGGACGCAAGUCUGAUGGAGCAACGCCGCGUGAGUGAAGAAGGUUUUCGGACCGUAAAGCUCUGUUGUUGGUGAAGAAGGAUAGAGGUAGUAACUGGCCUUUAUUUGACGGUAAUCAACCAGAAAGUCACGGCUAACUACGUGCCAGCAGCCGCGGUAAUACGUAGGUGGCAAGCGUUGUCCGGAUUUAUUGGGCGUAAAGCGAGCGCAGGCGGAAGAAUAAGUCUGUGUGAAAGCCCUCGGCUUAACCGAGGAAUUGCAUCGGAAACUGUUUUUCUUGAGUGCAGAAGAGGAGAGUAGAACUCCAUGUGUAGCGGUGGAAUGCGUAGAUAUAUGGAAGAAUACCAGUGGCGAAGGCGGCUCUCUGGUCUGCAACUGACGCUGAGGCUCGAAAGCAUGGGUAGCGAACAGGAUUAGAU